CACCCCUCCCCCUUGCUUUGAAAAAGCCUCCGGGAGCCCACCAGGUGCUGGGAGCUGAAGAAAAUGCAUUUGAAGCUUACUCUUGUCAGCUCCUGACAAACUAUCAGCAAAUUACACAGACGAGAUAGUACCCUGAAAUGUAAAAACUCUGCCAAGGACUGAUAUUGGCCGUGAUCCCCAGAUACCAAGUACCAUGACUGAAAAGGCAGGUCUGCAAUCCCAGAUGAUGAAACCAUCAGUAUUCAGUGAAAGACCCAGGAAAUAACUGAGUAACUCAGUAGUGGACCUGAAUUCUUCCCAAGUAAAUACCUUCAUAAAACAGUAGAUCAAAUCAAGCACUACGAGUCUGAGGAACUUCCUGAGAUGAAGGCUCCAGACUUCUGUGUUCAAUAGAGAGGAUGGGCCCAUCCUCAGUCCUUUCAAGAAUCUAAUUAAACUUUUGGCUUCUGCAUCAUCUUGUGGCAAUGAGUUCCACAAUUUAAUUACAGGCGUGAUACAAUAAAGC